GAUGAACGCUAGCGGGAGGCUUAACACAUGCAAGUCGAGGGGCAGCACGAGGUAGCAAUACUUUGGUGGCGACCGGCGCACGGGUGAGUAACGCGUAUGCAACCUACCCUGUACAGGGGGAUAGCCCGGAGAAAUUCGGAUUAAUACCCCAUAAAGAUAUUUUGAGGCAUCUUUUAAUAUUUAAAGUUUCGGCGGUACGGGAUGGGCAUGCGUGACAUUAGCUAGUUGGUAGGGUAACGGCCUACCAAGGCUACGAUGUCUAGGGGUCCUGAGAGGGUGAUCCCCCACACUGGUACUGAGACACGGACCAGACUCCUACGGGAGGCAGCAGUGAGGAAUAUUGGUCAAUGGACGGAAGUCUGAAUCAGCCCUCCCGCGUGCAGGAAGAAAGCGCUUUGCGUUGUAAACUGCUUUUUCCCAAGGGAGAAAAACCCCCACCUGUCGGGGCUGUCGGUCCUUUGGGAAAAAACCCCGCUAAUCCUGCC
rnacentral:rRNA from 1 species